ACCAAGUCUAUGAUGCAGGUACAUCAAGCUGAUGAGUCCUGAAUAGGACGAAACGUGGG
rnacentral:hammerhead_ribozyme from 13 species